GACAUUAUAGUUUAUUAAAAAUAUUGGGUUUGCGUCUCGAAGAUGGGUAGUUGCUCUUGUGUUG
rnacentral:tRNA from 1 species